rnacentral:misc_RNA from 1 species
AACGCACAUUGCACCCCUUGGUAUUCCGAGGGGUAUGCCUGUUCGAGCGUCAUUAUAACCAUCAAGCCUAGCUUGGCAUUGGAGCCCGCCGUCGUGGCGGCUCCUAAACACAGUGGCGAUGCCGUCUGGCACUAAGCGUAGUAAUUUUCUCGCUACAGGGCCUGCUGGUAAUCUGCCAUAAACCCCAACUUCUUAAGGUUGACCUCGGAUCAGGUAGGGAUACCCGCUGAACUUAA